rnacentral:lncRNA from 10 species
AGCAAUCCUUACACCUCAGGACCCCACACUCAGCCCCCCGAGUAGUUGGGACUACAGGAAAUGAAUGUGUAGAGGAAGAAGUCAGGUGAUGCUGGUGUCCUGGGGACCACUCCACGGAAGGAGAAGACACUGGGAAUAGAAGACCUUUGAAAAUCGUGAUGGGCUUAAAGAUCCCAGCGCAGGUCCCACCACUUAUUCGCUCUCACCUGGCAUCUCAAUCUCUGCAUCUGUAAAAAUGAAGAAAAUAAUCCAUCUCCCUGGAUGACUUCAUGAGAUUUUUUGUAGUCAUCAGUGAGGUACUGUACAUAGACGUGCUGUAAGGACGAAAAGUUCUUCACAAUAGGAUGCAUGGGAAAGCAAGCAGGGAGCAGUGGAGGAGGCUGAACCCAGAACGUGGGCUGAGGAUGCUGGGAGGGAACAGGGUUGGGGGCUGAAUCCUAACAGGAGGAAGCUACUGAGCUGCUUCUGUAAGUUGGGCCUGGAUGGAAACCCUGGAAGCAGUAACUCCAAGAAAGAUUCAAAAGUGGGACAAGAAGAGCAAGAACCAGGAAUGGAAAAACUCCAAGGAACAUGAGUGAAGAGCCUCGAAAAAACAGGACACUCACAGUUCAGGAAACUACCAAGGGUCCAAGGAGAGGCCUUGCUUGGCCGUGGUGUGGUCCUGCAACUCCAGGGCAGACCUAGACUCAUGGGAAAGUCCCUGCUUUGUGAUGAGGCUGAAAGAGGAUGAGUGGGGAGUGGCCGGAAGAAGAAAGGGUGUAACCAGAGACCAGUGUCAACAAGGAAUCUGGCUUGGAACGCUUUUGUCUGCAGCCCUCUUUGGAGCGUGACUUGCUCUUUCAGAGGUCUGUAUUUCUCUACCUGGACUACCCUGAGAGCUAACCCCAGUUAUUGGUCUGGAAGCAACGAAUGAAGGCCGGGGCAGAGCUUGAGGAGGGCAACAUCAUUUUGUCACAGUCGCCAUCAAGAAUCUAGUUGCAGACUGGGCGCUGUGGCUCACGCCUGUAAUCCCUGCACUUUGGGAGCCAAGGUGGGUGGAUCACUGGAGCCCAGGAGCUCAAGAGCAGCCUGGGCAACGUGGUGAAAGCCCAUUUCUACAAAAAAAUGCAAAAAUUAGCAGAGUGUGUUGGUGCAUGCCUGUGGUCUCAGCUACUCGGGA